rnacentral:tRNA from 1 species
UGCGGGAUGGAGCAGCGCACAGCUCACCGGGCUCAUAACUCGGAGGUCGUCGGUUGGAGUCCGGCUCCCGCAA